rnacentral:hammerhead_ribozyme from 1 species
AUCCAUCUGACGAGUCCGAAAUAGGACGAAACACGUCUUGGAU